rnacentral:rRNA from 1 species
AUGGCGAUCCUCGGGGAGCUCGGCACCGAGAUCCUCAUCCCCGUCUGCGGGGUCGUCGGCAUCGUCUUCGCCAUCGCGCAGUGGUUCAUCGUCUCCAAGGUCAAGGUCACCCCCGGCGCCGCCGCCGCCGGCGGCUCCAAGAACGGCUACGGCGACUACCUCAUCGAGGAGGAGGAGGGCCUCAACGACCACAACGUCGUCGUCAAGUGCGCCGAGAUCCAGACCGCCAUCUCAGAAGGAGCAACAUCAUUCCUUUUCACCAUGUACCAGUAUGUUGGUAUGUUCAUGGUCGUCUUUGCUGCGGUUAUCUUCGUCUUCCUUGGGUCAAUUGAGGGAUUCAGCACAAAGGGCCAGCCCUGCACCUACAGCACGGGCACCUGCAAGCCAGCUCUCUACACCGCCCUCUUCAGCACUGCAUCUUUCUUGCUUGGAGCCAUCACAUCUUUGGUGUCUGGUUUCCUUGGGAUGAAGAUCGCCACAUACGCCAAUGCUAGGACGACCCUGGAGGCAAGGAAGGGUGUUGGGAAGGCAUUUAUCACUGCUUUCCGCUCUGGUGCAGUCAUGGGCUUCUUGUUGUCAUCAAGUGGGCUUGUGGUUCUUUACAUCACCAUCAACGUGUUCAAGAUGUACUACGGUGAUGACUGGGAAGGUCUUUUUGAGUCCAUCACUGGUUAUGGUCUUGGUGGGUCUUCCAUGGCUCUAUUCGGAAGAGUUGGUGGAGGUAUCUACACCAAGGCUGCUGACGUGGGUGCUGAUCUUGUUGGCAAAGUUGAAAGGAACAUUCCUGAAGAUGACCCAAGGAACCCAGCUGUGAUUGCUGACAAUGUCGGUGACAAUGUUGGUGAUAUUGCUGGAAUGGGAUCAGAUCUCUUUGGUUCAUACGCAGAAUCUUCCUGUGCUGCUCUUGUUGUUGCUUCUAUCUCAUCUUUUGGAAUCAACCAUGAUUUCACUGCGAUGUGCUACCCACUGCUCGUGAGCUCUGUCGGCAUCAUUGUUUGCUUGCUCACCACGCUCUUUGCAACUGAUUUCUUCGAGAUCAAGGCUGCAAGCGAAAUUGAACCUGCUCUGAAGAAGCAGCUCAUCAUCUCCACUGCUUUAAUGACCAUCGGUGUUGCGGUAAUCAGCUGGUUGGCUCUUCCAGCUAAGUUCACCAUCUUCAACUUCGGUGCUCAGAAGGACGUGUCCAACUGGGGCCUGUUCUUCUGCGUGGCAGUUGGUCUGUGGGCUGGUCUGAUUAUUGGGUUUGUGACCGAGUACUACACUAGCAAUGCCUACAGCCCUGUGCAAGAUGUUGCCGAUUCCUGCAGAACUGGUGCUGCCACCAACGUCAUCUUCGGUCUUGCCCUGGGUUACAAGUCCGUCAUCAUCCCAAUUUUCGCUAUUGCUGUCAGCAUCUACGUCAGCUUCUCUAUUGCUGCGAUGUACGGCAUUGCAAUGGCUGCUCUUGGCAUGCUUAGCACAAUGGCAACUGGUCUUGCGAUCGAUGCUUAUGGUCCCAUUAGUGACAAUGCUGGUGGAAUUGCUGAGAUGGCUGGCAUGAGCCACAGAAUCCGUGAGAGGACUGAUGCUCUUGAUGCUGCUGGCAACACAACCGCUGCUAUUGGAAAGGGUUUCGCCAUUGGAUCAGCUGCUCUUGUGUCCCUGGCACUUUUCGGUGCUUUUGUCAGCAGAGCCGGCGUGAAGGUCGUCGAUGUCCUAUCUCCCAAGGUGUUCAUUGGCCUGAUUGUUGGAGCCAUGCUUCCGUACUGGUUCUCUGCCAUGACCAUGAAGAGUGUUGGAAGUGCUGCUCUCAAGAUGGUUGAGGAGGUCCGCAGGCAGUUCAACACCAUCCCCGGACUGAUGGAGGGAACUGCCAAGCCCGACUAUGCCACCUGUGUCAAGAUCUCCACUGAUGCUUCCAUCAAGGAGAUGAUCCCUCCGGGUGCUUUGGUCAUGCUCACCCCCCUCAUUGUCGGAACCCUCUUCGGCGUGGAAACCCUGUCUGGUGUUCUGGCUGGUGCCCUUGUUUCUGGAGUGCAGAUCGCCAUCUCUGCUUCCAACACCGGCGGUGCAUGGGACAACGCAAAGAAGUACAUUGAGGCUGGCAACAGCGAGCACGCGAGGUCCCUUGGCCCCAAGGGUUCAGACUGCCACAAGGCGGCCGUGAUCGGCGACACCAUCGGAGACCCCCUCAAGGACACCUCAGGCCCGUCGCUCAACAUCCUCAUCAAGCUCAUGGCCGUCGAGUCCCUCGUGUUUGCGCCCUUCUUUGCCACGUACGGAGGCGUGCUGUUCAGGUACAUCUAG